rnacentral:ncRNA from 1 species
ACAAAAUACAGUUUGCUCGAUAUAAAUCAAAUGAUAUGGUUUUGAAGUCUCUACCCGGCCGCCGUAAAUGGCCGGACUAUCGAU